rnacentral:rRNA from 1 species
UACAGAGGUCUCAAGCGUUGUUCGGAUUCAUUGGGCGUAAAGGGUGUGUAGGUGGCGCGCUAAGUCGGGUGUGAAAUUUCGGAGCUUAACUCCGAAACUGCAUUCGAUACUGGCGUGCUUGAGGACUGGAGAGGAGACUGGAAUUCAUGGUGUAGCAGUGAAAUGCGUAGAGAUCAUGAGGAAGACCAGUGGCGAAAGGCGGGUCUCUGGGACAGUUCCUGACACUGAGACACGAAGGCCAGGGGGAGCAAAACGGGG